CCUACGGGAGGCAGCAGUGGGGAAUAUUGCACAAUGGGGGAAACCCUGAUGCAGCGACGCCGCGUGAGUGAAGAAGUAUUUCGGUAUGUAAAGCUCUAUCAGCAGGGAAGAAAAAAGACGGUACCUGAUUAAGAAGCCCCGGCUAAUUACGUGCCAGCAGCCGCGGUAAUACGUAGGGGGCAAGCGUUAUCCGGAUUUACGGGGUGUAAAGGGAGCGUAGACGGUGCGGCAAGUCUGAAGUGAAAGGGAGGGGCUUAACCCCUGAACUGCUUUGGAAACUGCCAUGCUUGAGUGCUGGAGAGGUAAGUGGAAUUCGUAGUGUAGCGGUGAAAUGCGUAGAUAUUAGGAGGAACACCAGUGGCGAAGGCGGCUUACUGGACAGUAACUGACGUUGAGGCUCGAAAGCGUGGGGAGCAAACAGGAUUAGAUACCCUUGUAGUC
rnacentral:rRNA from 1 species